rnacentral:rRNA from 1 species
AUUGAACGCUGGCGGCAGGCCUAACACAUGCAAGUCGAACGAGUGGCGGACGGGUGAGUAAUGUCUGGGAAACUGCCCGAUGGAGGGGGAUAACUACUGGAAACGGUAGCUAAUACCGCAUACCAUCGGAUGUGCCCAGAUGGGAUUAGCUAGUAGGUGGGGUAACGGCUCACCUAGGCGAAGAUCCCUAGCUGGUCUGAGAGGAUGACCAGCCACCCGGGAACGGGGACACGGUCAAGAGUCCUAGGGGAGGAAACAGGGGGGAAAAUUGAAAAAGGGGCGCAAGCCUGAUGCAGCCAGGCCGGGUGUAUGAAGAAGGCCUUCGGGUUGUAAUGUACUUUCAGCGAGGAGGCGUUACUCGCAGAAGAAGCACCGGCUAACUCCGUGCCAGCAGCCGCGGUAAUA